AACGAACGCUGGCGGCAGGCUUAACACAUGCAAGUCUAGCGCCCCGCAAGGGGAGCGGCAGACGGGUGAGUAACGCGUGGGAGUCUACCCAUCUCUACGGAAUAACGCAUGGAAACGUGUGCUAAUACCGUAUACGUCCUUCGGGAGAAAGAUUUAUCGGAGAUGGAUGAGCCCGCGUUGGAUUAGCUAGUUGGUGGGGUAAAGGCCUGCCAAGGCGACGAUCCAUAGCUGGUCUGAGAGGAUGAUCAGCCACACUGGGACUGAGACACGGCCCAGACUCCUACGGGAGGCAGCAGUGGGGAAUAUUGGACAAUGGGCGCAAGCCUGAUCCAGCCAUGCCGCGUGAGUGAUGAAGGCCCUAGGGUUGUAAAGCUCUUUCACCGGUGAAGUUAAUGACGGUAACCGGAGAAGAAGCCCCGGCUAACUUCGUGCCAGCCGCCGCAGUAAUAC
rnacentral:rRNA from 1 species